AACGACGUAGGAUUCACGCUAGCAACGUAUACGUUAGUGUUGAGGCAUAAAAGCCAGAAUGAUUGAUGUUUGAAAUGUUUACAAGGUUUCUGUAAUAGGACAGAUAAAGGAUUGGAUUUAUACUUCAAUGAAAACUUAUGUACAGUAUAAUGAUGCGGAGAGAUCAAAAUUUACG